rnacentral:ncRNA from 2 species
CCCGGUGAGGAGAAAUCCGAGUCCGGAGCGGUCCCGCCACUGUGAGCGCUGAUGCGCGAGCCAGG